GUUACAGAUAAAAAUAAAAUAGUUCCAUGGGCCGUCUGCCUCUGCCUCAUUUAGGUUUCUAAUUUUUGCGCUUCCAUUAGUUGGACGGCCACCGUAGUAGUAGUCUAGCGCCGCCUCUCGCUGCUCACGCUUACGUGAAAUCGGCAAUUUCUCCAACUUGCACUCCGCCAACUGUUUCCCAAGGUAGACCAUAACUGUAACUUAUACUCCUAUCUUUCUGUUUAAGAAGUGAUACUGAAUUCAGUGUUAGUAUUGAACUCUUGCCAUGUGCAUGGCGUAUUGCAUUAAUAACUGUGAAAUUUCUCCGAUUAGUGCCGAGAGAUGGAGUGCCAAUUAUCUUGCUCUCGUGCUUUAUGAUGAAGUUGAGUUCAGUGUCCCAAACCACUAGUACUGCGAAUUUGCUCUGGUAAUGUUUCUUUCACUCCCACUAAACCUAACCUGUUAGGAAUUCGUGGGGUCCUGUUUUGGAUGUGCUGUUGUUUAUGGGUUUAUUGUUCUAUUCAUGUCUUGUGUCAAUGUGUUUCAAGGAAUUGAGGGAAGUUGCUAUUGAAUGCUAGUUUGGCAGGUUCAUGCACAUUGUUAGCAUCGUAAUCAACUUUGUCAGUGUCAUGCUUCCUGGUCUGGCUUUCUGGUACUUGAUUUUGUUGUUCUGCGUGCUUUGUUGUUUGAAGGGCUUCUGCUUGUUUAGAUAGAUGGAGCACUGGUGGUUAACAUUUGAUUGACGCUGGUUCUCUAAGUGCAGUAUUUGCAAAGAGACAGUUUGAAUAACAACCAGCAUUCAAUUGGCUGUCUUGUAUGUUAUGCUAUCAGCCCAAAUUAGUGUCCUGAGCUGAAUGUUUUCCAUACUUCAUUAGGACAGCAGAACUUGUAAUUGUACUUAGUUUGUAUUGGGAAAAAUGAGCAGAUCUGCUCGUCAUAAAGAGAAAUAUGGAAAAAGUAGUGAAAUUCUCCAAGAUCAAUACCAUGAAGGAACUGCUGCACGGACAAGGCCUUUAAGCUUUGAUGAGAUUAUGUUGAAAAGGAAAAACAAAAAGAAACAGUUUGAAAAUGAGAAAGAGGGAGUUUUUGAAGAUAUAACAGCAGAUGUAAGUGCUGAAAAGGUAUCUCAUCAUUAUGGAUCUGAUAGGGUUAAUUCACGAAGUAAAGAUUCUUCCCCUGGUGUCCAAAAGCAUUUGUCAGAGGAAGAUGCAAAGGCAAGUUCUAAAAAGAAAGAAGAAAAUACUUACAUGAAGGGUGACUAUGUAGCUAAAAGCAAAGAUAGAAAAAUUCGGGAUUCAGAAACCAAAUCAAAUGCCAAAAUGGACAAAGAUCAGAAAGUUAAAGGCAAGAAUGAUGAAAAAAUUUAUGACAGGAGAAAAAGAAAUGAGCAGCGAAGCAAUAAUGCAGAAAAUGAAGCUUCAAAGAAACAUUCAAGAGAAUUAACUGUGAGAGAUAGACAUGUGGAUGAAAGUAGAGGAAAUUUUGAGAGAGAAAACAAGAGAAAAUACGGAAAUGGAGUUUAUGAGCAAAACAGAGAUAGGUAUUCCACAAGAAAACUUGAUCCUGGAAAAAGGCAUGAUUCAGAAGCUUCAGACAGAAAGGAAAGGAAGGAACUAUCAAAAUCUCAUUUUGAGGAAUUAAAGCUGAAAAGAAGACGGUCAAGGGGUCAAGAGCGUGUGGACAGAAUAAGAAGGUCUAUUUCUCCAUUGCCAAGGUUACAAAAACGUGCAUCUUAUUAUGGUAGGGAACAUGGGGAGCCAUCCCCAUCUCACAUAGGGAGAUCUGGAUGGCAGCAGUCUGAUCUUGACAAGAGCCAAAUUAUGAACAAUGGUUUGAGUGGCCAUUAUAAGAGACAGGGUGGCUCAAACAGUGGUCUUGGCGGCUAUUCACCAAGAAAGAGAAGAACUGAGGCUGCUGCUAAGACUCCUUCCCCAACUAAACACUCUCCCCCAGCUAAGCGCCCACCAGAGAAGAAAAAUGCUAAAUGGGACCGUGCACCAGAGGGAGCAGACAACACCUUUUCUGUGUCUGUUCCUUCUAGUUUUCAACCAUCAAAUCAAACUGCAUCCUCAAAUAUACGUGAAGCAGUCAGUACAGUUCCUGUUGCUUCAGCUACAGUCAAGCCUCUUUCGGUGGGUUCUUUCAAUAUUUUAUCGUCCAAUAAGAAUGACUCAGUUGACUCUGUUCAACUAACACAAGCUACCCGUCCUAUGAGGAGGCUUUAUGUGGAGAAUGUACCAGCUUCAGCCUCUGAGAAAGCUGUGAUGGAAUGUCUUAACGAUUUUUUAAUUUCUUCAUGUGUCAACCAUAUCCGAGGAAGCCAGCCAUGUAUUAGCUGCAUUAUAAACAAAGAAAAGGGCCAAGCUCUUGUGGAAUUUCUUACACAUGAGGAUGCUUCAGCAGCUCUUGCAUUUGAUGGCAGUUCCUUCUCUGGUUCCAUAAUAAAAAUCCGACGCCCAAAAGACUUUGUUGAAGUGGCAGAUGUUUAUGUUGGGUGUGUCGUAAUUCACGUACUGGAUGGUGGUGAAGCUGUCUCCUAAAUAAGAAGAUAUCCAGGUGUAGUGACAAGUUUGAUCUUUAACGUGCAUGGAGCUUCUUGUUCUGGCAUUGGUUUUGGGCCACUGUUCUAGGCUGCUCAAACAGUAACUUUUUCUAAUAAAAUAUUGUGAAGUAUUUUCUUCAUUUGAUAGUUAACUUCCAAAAUGUUUUUGAGAUGUAUCGCUUUAGGAUAUUUGAUGGUAUUUUGAGUUAUAUACUAUGUGAGUUUCCUGAGUCUAUACUUGACAUGGUGGUUCAAUAAUAAUCUCCUCAUAAUGUUACAUGAUUUCACCUUUUCUAAUUGUUCAUCAUUUUGUUUUGACUUAAAAUGUCCUUUUUGUGUGUGGCAUAUUUAUGUCAUGAUUCUUGCAUUUGAUUAUUUGCUUUUUGGCGCUUUCUAUAUAUUUCUUGCCUUGGAAAAGUGAUAAAAGAAAGGAGAAAGAAGAAAUAAAAGGGGACAUUAAAGGGAGCAUAUGAUUUGUAAGGGGAGACAAUAUGAGGUUUGUAGUUCUACUAGAAUGAUAUUUUCUUUUCAUGGUUUACUUGAGAAGAUGAUAAUGGUUUUAAAUGAAUUUAAUGAUGGACCUAUUUUCCAGAAGAUAUUCGGAAGGAAAUCAUCCAAAAGAUCUUAUGUUCAAUUCAAAUCCUGAUCCUCUUCCAAACAGAUUGAGGCCUUAGGAAAUAUAGUUCAAAAGUAUACUUUAUGGAUAUCUAGGGCCUGUUUGAUUUAAAUUUUGGAUGUAACUGAUAGUUGAUAGUUGUUACUAUUAGCUGAU
rnacentral:misc_RNA from 1 species